rnacentral:rRNA from 1 species
CCCUUAGAUGUUCUGGGCUGCACGCGCGCUACACUGAUACUUUCAGCGAGUCCACCACCUUGCCUGAGAGGGUGGGGUAACCUCUGGAAAGUGUAUCGUGAUGGGGAUCGAUUAUUGUAAUUAUUAAUCUUCAACGAGGAAUUCCUAGUAAGCAUGUGUCAUCAGCCCGUGCUGAUUACGUCCCUGCCCUUUGUACACACCGCCCGUCGCUCCUACCGAUUGAAUGUUCCGGUGAGCUCUUCGGACUGCGCGGUCUGCAGUUUCUGCGUUCCGUGCGGAAAGUUGCGCAAACCUUAACAUUUAGAGGAAGGAGAAGUCGUAACA